UACGGGGGGGGCAAGCGUUGUUCGGAAUUACUGGGCGUAAAGGGCGCGUAGGCGGUUUGCUAAGUUGGAUGGGAAAACUCUGGGCUUAACCCAGAGCCUGCAUCCAAAACUGGCAAACUUGAGUACUGGAGGGGAAAGCGGAAUUCCUGGUGUAGCGGUGAAAUGCGUAGAUAUCAGGAGGAACACCGGUGGCGAAGGCAGCACUCUGGGACGUGACUGACGCUGAGACGCGAAAGCGUGGGGAGCAAACAGG
rnacentral:rRNA from 1 species